rnacentral:rRNA from 1 species
GAUGAACGCUGGCGGCGUGCCUAAUACAUGCAAGUCGAGCGAACAGAUGAGAAGCUUGCUUCUCUGAUGUUAGCGGCGGACGGGUGAGUAACACGUGGGUAACCUACCUAUAGGACUGGGAUAACUCCGGGAAACCGGGGCUAAUACCGGAUAAUAUUUUGAACCGCAUGGUUCAAUAGUGAAAGACGGUUUCGGCUGUCACUUACAGAUGGACCCGCGCCGUAUUAGCUAGUUGGUAAGGUAACGGCUUACCAAGGCGACGAUACGUAGCCGACCUGAGAGGGUGAUCGGCCACACUGGAACUGAGACACGGUCCAGACUCCUACGGGAGGCAGCAGUAGGGAAUCUUCCGCAAUGGGCGAAAGCCUGACGGAGCAACGCCGCGUGAGUGAUGAAGGUCUUCGGAUCGUAAAACUCUGUUGUUAGGGAAGAACAAAUUUGUUAGUAACUGAACAAGUCUUGACGGUACCUAACCAGAAAGCCACGGCUAACUACGUGCCAGCAGCCGCCGUAA